GUUGUCCCUCAGACGGCGCUGCUGCAGUGCGUCUUCGCACUUACGCGGAGCGGUAAUGUGAGGAAGCCUCCCGCCAAACAGUAGAGGGAGGAGGAGGAGGGGAGAGGCCAGAGAGAGAAGCGGCUUUCGGGAAGGAAAGUGUGAUCUAGUGCUGAUCCUUUUAGAGGCAGCCGUGGAAGAGGAAAAGAGAUCAGAAGAGAAAAGGAUAUUGGUUUGCUGGAACAUGUGGGACAAGAAGUUCCCAGAAGAAUUUGUGAGCAACUUCCCGACAGUAAGGCCCUGGCUAGACCUCAGGAUGGUCCCUGCCUCCUGGACAUUAGGAAGCCCAAAGGCCAGAACAAAAACACAUGCCUAGUGGGGGAAGGCUCACUAACAGGGCACCAAGUGGGGCAAAUACCCCUGGUAACCCAUUUAUGGAGGCUGCCACAGAAAUGCUAGUUGGAAAUUUUCCUCCUUCAGUCUAUCAUGAAUUUCCUUUUUCUCUUUUGAGAUGAAGUCGCCCAGGCUGCAGUUCAGUGGUGCAAUCUCAGCUCACUGCAAGCUCUGCCUCCCAGGUUCCAACGAUUGUCUUGUCUCAGCCUCCUGAGUAGCUGAGAUUAUAAGCACGCACCAUCAUACCCGACUAAUUUUUGUAUUUAUAGUAGAAAUGGGGUUUUGCCAUGUUGGCCAGGCUGGUCUUGAACUCCUGACCUCAAGGUGAUCCACCCAUCUUGGCCUCCGAAAGUGCUGGGAUUACAGGCAUGAGCCACUGCACUCGGCUGUACCAUGAUUAUUAGUUCAAGGUUCUCUUUCACUGGGGUAAAGACCUUAAGAGAGCAGUUUUUGGGCUUUAUAUUCUCAAUUUCCCGCACAGUGCCUAGCACAUAGCAAGGACUCAACAAAUUUCAUUGAAUGAAUGAAAAAACAUAGUUUACCAAA
rnacentral:antisense_RNA from 1 species